GCUAUUUUGGCAGAAAAAAUGUGAUGAUUUUAGAAGUCAUGAAUGUAUAAUUUAUUAUAUAGAUAGUA
rnacentral:tRNA from 2 species